rnacentral:rRNA from 1 species
GGUUGCGAUCAUACCAGCACUAAUGCACUGGAUCCCAUCAGAACUCCGUAGUUAAGCGUGCCUGGGCGAGAGUAGUACUAGGAUGGGUGACCCCCUGGGAAGUACUCGUGUUGCAACCCCCUUC